rnacentral:rRNA from 1 species
AACGAACGCUGGCGGCAGGCCUAACACAUGCAAGUCGAGCGGCAGCGGGUCCCCGCGAGGGGAUGCCGGCGAGCGGCGGGCGGGUGAGGAACACAUCGGAAUCUGCCUGGUUGUGGGGGAUAACGUAGGGAAACUUACGCUAAUACCGCAUGCGACCCUGAGUCGACGGACUUGGGGUGAAAGUGAGGGACCUUCGGGCCUCACGCGACCAGAUGAGCCGAUGUUGGAUUAGCAGUUGGCGGGGUAACGGCCCGCCAAGGCGACGAUCCGUAGCUGUCUGAGAGGAUGAUCAGCCACACUGGGACUGAGACACGGCCCAGACUCCUACGGGAGGCAGCAGUGGGGAAGUCUUGGACAAUGGGCGCAAGCCUGAUCCAGCCAUGCCGC